GGAGGGGUGGUCGAGUGGUUAAAGGCACCUGACUGUAAAUCAGGCCUCUUCGGAGUACGUAGGUUCGAAUCCUACCCCCUCCACCA
rnacentral:tRNA from 1 species